rnacentral:rRNA from 1 species
UACGGAGGGUGCAAGCGUUAUCCGGAAUCACUGGGUUUAAAGGGUGCGUAGGCUGUUAAAUAAGUCAGUGGUGAAAGGCCGUAGCUUAACUAUGGGAUUGCCAUUGAUACUGUUUGACUUGAAUCAGGAUGAGGUUGGCGGAAUGUGACAUGUAGCGGUGAAAUGCUUAGAUAUGUCAUGGAACAUCGAUUGCGAAGGCAGCUGACUGGACCUAGAUUGACGCUGAGGCACGAAAGCGUGGGGAGCGAACAGG